rnacentral:rRNA from 1 species
CACGUAGGCGGACUUUUAAGUCAGGGGUGAAAUCCUGGAGCUCAACUCCAGAACUGCCUUUGAUACUGGAAGUCUCGAGUUCGGGAGAGGUGAGUGGAACUGCGAGUGUAGAGGUGAAAUUCGUAGAUAUUCGCAAGAACACCAGUGGCGAAGGCGGCUCACUGGCCCGAUACUGACGCUGAGGUGCGAAAGCGUGGGAGCAAACA